rnacentral:misc_RNA from 1 species
AUUGCGCGGCGAAAACCUUACACACUGUGUUUUUGUUUUACAAAUCAUUGCUUUGGCUUGGCCUUAACUGGUUGGGCCAGAGGUUUACACCAAACUUCAAUAUUUUAUUGAAUUGUUUUUAAUAUAUCAGUCAAUUUGUUGAUUAAAUUCAAAAAUCUUCAAAACUUUCAACAACGGAUCUCUUGGUUCUCGCAUCGAUGAAGGACGCAGCGAAAUGCGAUAAGUAAUAUGAAUUGCAGAUUUUCGUGAAUCAUCGAAUCUUUGAACGCACAUUGCGCCCUAUGGUAUUCCAUAGGGCAUGCCUGUUUGAGCGUCAUUUCUCUCUCAAACCCUUGGGUUUGGUAUUGAGUGAUACUCUUAGUCGGACUAGGCGUUUGCUUGAAAAGUAAUGGCAUGAGUGCGCUGGAUAGUGCGUUCUGAUUAUUCAAUGUAUUAGGUUUAUCCAACUCGUUGAAGGAUCAGGUGCAAAUUUCUGGUGGUAUGGCUCGGCCCUACAACAACAAACAAGUU